CUCGUUUUUGUCAUGAUGCCUUUUUUGGUGUAUGGUCAUUACUUUGCUCAAUCAAUUAACAAUUAUCCAAAGUCUUAUAGGCUUAAGAUUCGUCAAUUUUUACCCAGUGAACUAUUUUACCACUUGCAGUUUUAUUUCUUGUCAAUAUUACUUCAGGUCAAUUAUUUCCACCAAUUAUAAAACUGUGCAUGUUUAUUAUCGCCAUUUAAAAUAUUAUCAAAUUGUGUGACCUAGUAGUAUUUUUACUGCAACCAAUUAAUAGCAUCAAUUCUAGUUUUUUCUCAAAUUCUUCUACCGGCACAAAUUAUUAUGAAUUGGUUAAUUUUAGGUGUGAUGGCCAUCAUGUUUUAUGACAUAUUUUCCUACCUGUUCAUAAAUGAUUAUUUGGCCUGAUAAAAGGUUACCCCACAUAUUCUAUUCAGGUGAGAGAAAAAUCUUUCUAGACCUAAAAGCAGCAAAAUAGAACUCUAAUUUCAUGAAAUAGUAAUUGUGGGAAAAGAUGAUCAUGCUUCUAUUAACUCUUGAUCAAGAGAGUAGCCUCAGACUUGGAGAAUUCCCUUCCAUGGAAAUAGGAGUCCUUGUAGCCUGUGCUGGCUUAUCACCUCGUCUGGGAAUAAAUUCCCCUGUUCCAGACUUGACAUGCAAUUCUUUCUUCUGCUUCAAUGUGUGUAUGUGCCAUGUGGCACCUGGCCAAGCCCACAGCCCUACCUAUUCCCACCAGGGAGGAAAUGAGGCACUUCCCCUGCUGAGAUGGAUGCAUGAAGACCAUCGUGGUGCACAGGCCGAGGGGCCCAGUAUGUGCAAGCCGGACAGGGGGCUGACGUCCUGGGACUGCUGCUCUUGCUGGUAGGAUCUUCCAGCAAAGGGCCUCUUCCCCUUGGAGCAGAACAGAUGUCAUCUACUUGGCAGUAAUGACAAGACUCCAGCUUUGUUUGAAUUGCCGUGCAAGACUGAUUGUUCAGUUAAGUAAGUAUAAUAUUGAUUUUGUCUUGGAUUUCGUUGAAGUCCUUGUGCUAUAUUUUCAAGAAUCUAAGAAGUGUCUAUAAAUUGGAGAUCAUUAAAUCGAAAACAAAAAAAUUCUAAGCCCCUGAGAGCACAUUAAUCUUCCUUCCUUCCUUCCUUCCUUCCUUCCUUCCUUCCUUCCUUCCUUCCUUCGUUUCUUCUCCUUCUCCUUCUUCUUCUUCUUCUUCUUCUUCUUCUUCUUCUUCUUCUUCUUCUUCUUCUUCUUCUUCUUCUUCUUCUCCUCCUCCUCCUCCUCCUCCUCCUCCUUCUUCUUCUUCUUCUUCUUCUUCUUCUUCCUCCUCCCUCCCUUCUUUUCUUUCUCUCUUUCUUUUCUUUCUUUCUUUUUUUCUUUCUUUCUUUCUUUCUUCUUUCUUUCCUACUUCUUUUCUUUUCUUAAGUGUCCCCAUAACUAUAAAUUUUUACUAUAAAACCACUGAAGAAACAUUGGUAUAUUGGUGUAGUCUGUCAGAGAAUCACUAUAACAAAUAAAGGAUACAAGUUUUGUAAUCCA
rnacentral:lncRNA from 12 species